rnacentral:rRNA from 1 species
UACAGAGGGUGCGAGCGUUAAUCGGAAUUACUGGGCGUAAAGCGUGCGUAGACGGUAGCGUAAGUCAGAUGUGAAAGCCCCGGGCUCAACCUGGGAACUGCGUUUGGGACGGGAUUGCUAGAGAUCGGGAGAGGAGAGUGGAAUUCCCAGUGUAGAGGUGAAAUUCGUAGAUAUUGGGAAGAACACCAGUGGCGAAGGCGGCUCUCUGGACCGAUACUGACGCUGAGGCGCGAAAGCGUGGGGAGCAAACAGG